ensembl:snoRNA
CCAGAAACUCAAGCACAAGCCUGUUCCCCUGGACCUCUCAUAGUGUCCCAUGCCAGAGCAAACUGGAGCCCCAAACCAUUGCCUGGCCUCUGUCCAUAGGUUGUUGGCAAUGAAGUGGGUGCACAGUA